UACGGAGGGUGCGAGCGUUGUCCGGAUUUAUUGGGUUUAAAGGGUGCGUAGGUGGCUUGUUAAGUCAGUGGUGAAAUACAGCCGCUCAACGGUUGAGGUGCCAUUGAUACUGACAAGCUUGAAACAAGUGGAGGUUGCCGGAAUGGAUGGUGUAGCGGUGAAAUGCAUAGAUAUCAUCCAGAACACCGAUUGCGAAGGCAGGUGACUACGUUUGAUUUGACACUGAGGCACGAAAGCAUGGGGGAGCAAACAGG
rnacentral:rRNA from 1 species